rnacentral:tRNA from 1 species
UCCCUGGUGGCUCAGUGGUAAAGAAUCUGCCUGCAAUGUAGGAAACACAGGUUAGAUCCUGAGUCAGGGAA